rnacentral:rRNA from 1 species
AUUGAACGCUGGCGGCAUGCUUUACACAUGCAAGUCGAACGGUAACAGGGUGCUUGCACCGCUGACGAGUGGCGAACGGGUGAGUAAUGCGUCGGAACGUGCCGAGUAGUGGGGGAUAACGCAGCGAAAGCUGUGCUAAUACCGCAUACGCCCUGAGGGGGAAAGCGGGGGAUCGCAAGACCUCGCGCGAUUAGAGCGGCCGAUGCCUGAUUAGCUAGUUGGUGGGGUAAAAGCCAACCAAGGCGACGAUCAGUAGCUGGUCUGAGAGGACGAUCAGCCACACUGGGACUGAGACACGGCCCAGACUCCUACGGGAGGCAGCAGUGGGGAAUUUUGGACAAUGGGGGCAACCCUGAUCCAGCAAUGCCGCGUGAGUGAAGAAGGCCUUCGGGUUGUAAAGCUCUUUUGUCAGGGAAGAAACACCGGCUCUAACGCAGUCCGGGAAUGACGGUACCUGAAGAAUAAGCACCGGCUAACUACGUGCCAGCAGCCGCCGUAA